GGCGGACGGGUGAGUAACGCGUGGGAAUAUGCCCUUCUCUAAGGAAUAGCCUCUGGAAACGGAGAGUAAUACCUUAUACGCCCUUCGGGGGAAAGAUUUAUCGGAGAAGGAUUAGCCCGCGUUAGAUUAGGUAGUUGGUGGGGUAAUGGCCUACCAAGCCUACGAUCUAUAGCUGGUUUGAGAGGAUGAUCAGCCACACUGGGACUGAGACACGGCCCAGACUCCUACGGGAGGCAGCAGUAGGGAAUCUUAGACAAUGGGGGCAACCCUGAUCUAGCCAUGCCGCGUGUGUGAUGAAGGCCCUAGGGUCGUAAAGCACUUUCGCCAGAGAUGAUAAUGACAGUAUCUGGUAAAGAAACCCCGGCUAACUCCGUGCCAGCAGCCGCGGUAAUACGGAGGGGGUUAGCGUUGUUCGGAAUUACUGGGCGUAAAGCGCACGUAGGCGGAUUAGUAAGUUAGAGGUGAAAUCCCAGGGCUCAACCCUGGAACUGCCUUUAAUACUGCUAGUCUUGAGUUCGAGAGAGGUAAGUGGAAUUCCGAGUGUAGAGGUGAAAUUCGUAGAUAUUCGGAGGAACACCAGUGGCGAAGGCGGCUUACUGGCUCGAUACUGACGCUGAGG
rnacentral:rRNA from 1 species